rnacentral:rRNA from 1 species
AUUGAACGCUGGCGGCAGGCCUCACACAUGCAAGUCGAACGAGUGGCGGACGGGUGAGUAAUGUCUGGGAAACUGCCCGAUGGAGGGGGAUAACUACUGGAAACGGUAGCUAAUACCGCAUACCAUCGGAUGUGCCCAGAUGGGAUUAGCUAGUAGGUGGGGUAAUGGCUCACCUAGGCGACGAUCCCUAGCUGGUCUGAGAGGAUGACCAGCCACAAUGGAAAUGAGACACGGUCCAGACUCCGACGGGAGGGAGCAGUGGGGAAUAUUGGACAAUGGGGGAAAGGCUGAUGCAGCCAAGCCGCGUGUAUGAAGAAGGCCUUCGGGUUGUAAAGUGAUUUCAGGGGGGAGGCGUUACUCGCAGAAGAAGCACCGGCUAACUCCGUGCCAGCAGCCGCGGUAAUUC